GCCUGGGUGGCUCAGUCGGUUGAGCGUCCGACUUCAGCUCGGGCCACGAUCUCACAGUCCGUGGGUUCAAGCCCUGCAUUGGGCA
rnacentral:tRNA from 1 species